AGCCAGGGCAGGCUGGAAGCCUUGCUUAAGAUCAGUGAUUACAGUGACUUUAAGGGCUGGAAACUUGUCCUUGGUUCUCAACAGCUUAUCUGGGCAUGUAAGAAGUGUUUGCCAGUAUAUUGUUCUUCUCCUCAGCUUCCUCUGAUUGUUCACCAUCAUAGUGGCUGUUGCAGUUUCUCCUUGCCAUGGACCUUCUUCCUUUCACUGUGAUGAUGGAGUGGAGACAUCCUGGUGGUUCUCUGGUCUGUGUCUUCCUCCUGCUGCAUCCAAGACUGCAGUACUAACCCGGGCUCGUAGAAUGGCCUGGGUUGAAAAGGACCAUAAUAAUCAUCUAGUUUCAUCCCCUAUGCUGUGUGCAGGGUUGCCAACCAAUAGAGAAAGGAGAGAUCUGCCAGAUCAGGCUAUGCUUCUUACCACUUCCUAAGCCCUCCUGAAGAUGGCUCAGGCACAGUUAACACCAGCUGCUCCCGAGCCUGCAUGAGAAGCAAGAAGGGCUGUGCUGGGGAAAUCUGACUCCACUGCCAUGAAGACCUGCAGGGAAACAAGAACUGCUGGAUAUGUCCAGAGGAGCCAAAUGGUUGCAGUGGUGCUCUGUAAGUCCAAGGGGAGCAUUUGGUAUGCUUUUAAAUAGUCAGCAUGAGUAGUUGGUGGAAUUAAGAGAAGGAGGCUCUCAGCCUUGCAAUCCGGAAAUAUUUGUCAGGAGUGGAAUUUACACUUUCUCGGAGCUCCCUAGGGUAAGAACAAGAGUGGUGUGCAUUUUAGAAUCUUAAACUAGACAAGACAAAGCCCCGGUGGGUGAAACAGUCAGCGAUCCUGCUCAGGGGCAGAGUGAACUGCUGGCCUCUCGUCAUGUGUCUCUUCCAUCCCUCACUUCUGUGAUGCUAUAAAAAAGCCUGAUCCAAUCCUGGGAUUACACAAAGAAUGCACUGCAACAAAGAGAAGCCCAUGGCCUUUCUGCUCACCCUUUAGUGGUAUUUGGGACCAGAAGAGAGGUUGGUCUGAAUAGUCAGAAUGACAUUCCUGGCCAUGUUUAGCAAAUGUUAUCUGGGUUGAGCGGAAAAAUAUGUGCCCUCUUAUCAGAAUAUUUUCUCCAUGUUCUCCUUUAAUCCAGGUGUCAAAUGGAGGCAACGACGGCCAUUGAAGCCAUUCUUGUGUGUCUGAGAAGAUAUUUCUUCCUGCCUCUGUGAGAAUGGGCCAGUCCCAAGUGCCACUCUGCAAUUAGGAUAUUAAUAGCCCUAUUACUCUGUGCCAUCUAGUUUGCUUUAAAAUUCAUGGUGCAGUUAGAUGAGAUUUGUUCAUAACAGGAAAAGUACAGAUGUGCAGGAAGACUGAGUCAGAACAGAGCUUUGAAAUGCAUCAAGCAACCAUUUAAUUAAAGAAGGGUGCUCUAAUAUUGUGUUCCAAAUGAUUACUUAUUUAUAUACUCCUCAAAUAGUGCUAUUUUUAAACCGGAUUUUGAAGAGAAGACAAUUUAUAUUUCAACGUGAGGACAGCCUUAAAGCUAAAAGAGCUGCCAGCACUGUGCUGCCCAGGAGGAGCAGGAAAAGAAAAUACUCCACAUCCUCCCUAGUUCUUCUGCUGCCUUCCAGCACUGUAGUGCCAUCUGGAAUUGUGCUGCUCAGUGCCUGCAGCCUUGCCACCAUAUCAUUGAAUCAGUAAGGUUGGAAAAGACCACUAAAAUCAUGUAGUCCAACCAUCAGCCCAAAUCCCCACCACGUCCACAGAACAAUGUCCGUCAAUGCCACAUCUACAUGGUUCUUGAACACCUCCAGGAAUGGUGACUCCACCACCUCCCUGAGCAGCCUGUUCUGAUGCCUGACCACACCUCCUGCCAAGUGUGGGGAUGUUUUCCAAACGCUGAGCAUCCUGUGCAAUAUAAUGCUCCAGGGAACAAAAAGCUGAGCCAUGUGUCUUGACGCAGCUCUCUCCAGUUGUUGUAAGGAUGUGCUUGGAGAUGUUGGUGAUCGUAAGCCUGGAUAGAUGGAUGGGAAGAACUGUGGGCUUUGUGGGGAGUUAUGCCUUCUGGUAUUUUGAGCUUGUAGUUUGUGGGCUUCCACAAACUGAGGUGCAGGCAGGACUUCAAGCUGGAACAAAAUCAAAGGCAAACAUUGCAUCUGAGUGAUGAGCUUCCUCCUUCCCUCCUCUGAUAUUGGAUGAGUGCACCACUGUGGGAUCUGAACCCAGAGAUUUAGCUGGACACUAUUUCACAUAUGUUCUGCACUAGUCUGAAUAACUGCAAGAGUUCCAAGGAAAUAAAUGUUAACUCCCAUAAAUCUUCAAAAACUUGAGUUUUUCUUAGGAGAAGAGCUGAGAAAGGCUUUUGUGGGAAAGCAUGAAUGUUUGCUGAGUUCCUGAAUAAAUCUUAGCCCAGUUUGAGAGAUUCAAAAGAGCGGUGGCUUCUCCCAGUUCCUUCCCAAACAAAAGGCUGGACCCAAGUGCACUGAAGUCAUAGAGAAUGAGUCUCAUUGACAUCAAAGAGUGCUGAAUCGGACGGGAUGAAGGACAGCCUCAGCCAGAGACCAGAAGAAAUGAAAGCAUGUGAUGUACGUGACCAACAACCACUAACCAACCGCCCAGAUUCCAGCACUGAGCCCUGCAAACAGUGAACUUGCAAACAAUUCAUGAAGAUGUGCCAAAAAAAUUCAAAGAAAAAUAUGUAAGGAAACGGCAAUGUGUUUGUGGGUAUUCUGUGAGCAGAAAAAUAUGUUAUAUUUGUGGAAUAAAUUAGUCCGUGGGAAGUAUUCUCUCAGCUCUCUCAGCUGUGUGCAGCUAAGCCAGCUAAUCGAAUGCAAGCUUUUCUUCUGCUGCCAAAGGAAGCAGAUAAGUAUGGAGACAUGGAUGAAACAAGCUUCAAUUUGCUUUUAAGAAAGGAGUUGCUGGUCACAUCUCAUUUCAGUAGUUCUCAUCUUCUGGAUGGUCAUUUUUUGCUGCUGUUUAAAUGCUUCGGUUUAUUCUCUCGUGAAUACUAACAAGCUUUGGCUUGUCUGUAUCAGCUUGUGCAUGUGGCUUGUAUAUCCAUAUCAGAUGCUGCAAAGCUCAUCCCAUCUCUUAUCUCCAUCUGAUUAGAUUACUGCAGUGUCCCAUUGUGGGUUGGCUGGGCUGCUUCUUCUCAUGGGGAAUGCCACCACUGUGAGGACAUCGUGUGUCAGUGGUAACCCAGAGCAUUUCAUUCUGACACCAUCAUGCCUUUCUCCGGUUGCAAAGGUGCAGGAUUAACUGAGGAUGAGAAGAGUCCUUGGUCCAGAUGGAUUAGAAAAUCAGGUAACAGCAGGAGCAGACCUAUCUGUCAUGGUGAGCAAGAGCUGUGCAGAGACAAUGUAGUGAAGGACUGAGGAUCAGACUCAGACCUGCUGUUCAUAUAUUUGGUCCUCUGCAGAUGGACGUGUUCAGGGCUGCUUGAUGUGUGCUUUGUCUGUGGGUUCUCAGGAUAUUGAAAGGAUCCACUGAAUAAUGGCCUCAAGUUGCACCAGGGGUGGUUCAGGUUGGAUAUUAGGAAACAUUUCUUCUCAGAAAGAGUGGUGAGGCACUGGCACAGUGCUGCCCAGGGAGGUGGUGGAGUCACUGUCCUGAAGGUGUUCGAGAACUGUGUGGAUGUGGCACUGAGGGACGUGGUUAGUGGGCAUGGUGGGAUGGGCUGACAGUUGGACUGAAUGUUCUUAAUGGUCUUUUUAGACCUUAGUGAUUUUAUGAUUCUGUGAUUUAGAUCUUCCUUCUGGGGAUCUUGAACUUGGUUGCGAGGAGUGGAGCAAAGGUGCAUGUCUGCAGCCAGGGAGUGGUGAUUUCUGGUGGUAGCUAUGAAGACUCUGCCAGGAGCUGUGUGUGUACCUACGAUUAUUGGACACAUGUAGCCCACACCUAAAAUUAGCCAUCCAGAAUCAAAGGCAAAGAAAUGAAGGGUAUUUGGUGUGAAAAUAUAGAAAAGCCAAGGAGUUUUUGUAGAUGAGAGACCAGACUCUUGGAAAUAGGGAAAAGUGGGACUCCAGGACAAAUUUGUUUACCUGCACAUUCUGGCAACCAAGACAGCUGCUCAGUGCAGGUUUAGGUAUGAGGAUUACAACUGCAUUCACCAAAAGAAGAACAGAUUCAGCUGGGCUUCUAAGAUGGGGCAGCAACCAGAGGCAGAGUACUCUUGACUCUCCCACUGCUGGAAGGCCAACUCUGCCUGGAGGUGGGCAGGAAUAGACACAAGUGGGCAUAAAUGCUCUCAGACACCAACCAGUUCCAGUCCUCGUCAAUCUUCUUUCCAUCAAGCAUCACAAAGUGCUCUACAGACCCAAUGACCUUGUCACAACUCUUUCUCAUCAGGAAAUUAAAGCAUGUGAGAUGUCUUCCUCAAGAUCACUCAUUAGACCAGCAUGGCACAGGCUGCAUGUUGAUCAGCUCACUAAGGAUAACAUAUCUCCCUGGCAAGUCCCUGUCACUAACACCAGCAUGUGCCCUCGUUGCCUUUCAGCCACUCAACCAGCUGCUUCUGCUUGCUGCACAAUCAAAAUCCUGUUUGAUAUGGUCCUGCUGCUGCUGCUGUCACUUAUGACCGCUCUUACCUUCAACCAGACUGCUAUUUUGUGGGGGUUUUUUUCAGUGUCUUUUUUCUUCUUUGCAUUAAGUGCAGCGAGGGUCUUUGUGUGGCAGAUGCUGCUCAGCAUUAAUUGCUUUGCCUUGCGACUGUGUUAUCAUACAGUGAUUUUCAGGUGCAGCAGUUGAUGCAUUAGGGCUGUCACUUUUCAUACCCUUUCAGAGAGCACCAUGUUUUCAUCUCUUACAACCAAUGCUUCCUCACUCUUUGCUCCUCCUAGCAUAAACUAUUUUCCAAUUGCCAAGGCUUGCACACCAAUGCCUCACCUUUUGUCUGCCACAGACAAAGGGCUACUCUGAGACUGCUGCUCUGAGACUCAUUGAAGUUCACAGCAUUAGUUGUUUAAAAGUGAUUUUUUUUUUGAAGCUACCGUGUCCAAUGUGCUUAGUGGUGCGUGCUGGCUUGCUGCAGUGAUGCUCAGUUUGGGUGUCUGCAUGCUUGGCCAUGCUUCUGCUGAUCAGGGAAAUGCCUGGAGGGGCCUUGGGAUGGAAAUCCCUUGGGCAAGUGCUGGGGUUUUCAUGUUUCCAUUAAGCCUUGGGAUGGCCUCUGUGCUACCAAGUAAGCAGUUCUCUCCCACUGCCCUGAUGAUGCCAUAGAGAAAUAGGAAGAGAGUAGACCAGUCUGAAUUGUGACCCCCCACCACAGGCCUUUCUGCACAAGGAAGAAAUGCUGCAGCAAGCACUUGGCAUGAGAUUGCCUUGGCAGUCUCACAGGAGCAGGUUUACUGUAGUGCACUGAAUGAGCUUUUGCCAUUUGUCUCAAUUAACACCACGGUUGGUGACACAAGAUGGCAGCUGCUGUCUUUGUGGUUGUAUCCACCACUGACAUCCUGCUUGAGUGCUUCAGAAGCCAGGCUGGUGACUCAGCCCUGAAUUCAAAUUCUUUGGUCUGAUCUGACUGAAUGGGUAAACACAUCUAAAAAAUGCGUAUCAACUCAAAACAGCCCAUAACUUUUGGGUUACUCUGCCCUGCAAGGACUGUCCUGUAGAUUGUGGUCUCCCACUUCUGAACUGAGGCAGAGUGGUACUGUUUCAGGUUCUCAGGGGUCUGAACUUCAAGUGCAGCUUUUGGUCCUGCACUGGUUACAAGAUCUCCCUGGACUCUUGUCUUUGUCUGCAUACACAGGCCUGAGGAGUGAUAAUAAUUGUUCCCUCGUGCCUUCAUGGUGCAAAGGAAAUGCUGCUGGCCACAUCUAGUUACUUUCCACUUAACCACUUUUAAUGAUGAACCAUCCUUCACCUGGCAAUAAUUCAUAUUUACAGUAAUUAACAUUCAGGGACUGCAAGAUGUAGGAAGAGUUCACCAAACCAAUGCACCUGGACAGGAUGAUGGGAGUUAGACUCAGAGGUGGACAGAACCUAGACUUAUUUUCAUUUUUUAGGGACUUGGUUAGCUCUGGUCUGUUUAUAGCUGGCUGUUCCACUCUGCUUUCAGAAGCUUUGCUAUGCUUCUCACUGGUGCUACUCCGAGCAUUCAUUCCUGCAUUGUCCAUUUUUGUCCAUGGCUAAGGUGGCUUCCAUGAGCUUCUCCAGGAUUUCUUUUGCCCAUCUCAAGGAUGAAGCUGGGAGAGUUCAGUGGCUUCGAAGAGAUGUGCAAAUCUAUCAUUGCAAACAAAGUUUUGUUGGUUUUCUUUUGCAGAGAAAGAACAUCCUCCAUUCCCAGACAUUGUUUGCUGCCAAAGGUAUCUGUCUAAUUCAGCAGAGCUCCUAUCAUGUCUUUUCCUGCCUUUGCUUUUCUUUGCUUUAUGUGGGAAAAAAAAAGGGCUUGUUAUUUUUAUAAGAGCUCAAACUUCAUAGGAAUAAUUUUACACUGUGGUAAUUGCACUGAAGUAGGAAUGACUGCGGGUUUUGAGCUCUGAAUGGAGGGUCUGGCCUACGGGAGGUGUGGGAACAUUUUUUGGAAAGAGAUCUCCCUCAGAAAAAAAAAUCUUUUACUGUUUUGAAAGGAUUUUUGUAGGGUUUUUUAAUUAUUAUUAUUAAAUCCAGAGGUUUUUGGAAAUUCUUUGCCACGCAGGCCGCAAAGUUGCAUUUUUAUCAUGAUGUUGAAACAAGUAAGAAAUCCAAAGGAGACAACUACUGUCCAAAUAGUGCAGCCAGUGAACACGGGCUAACAGUCAAUCCUGGUGGAAGGUAAGCACAGGGAAAUGGGAGGAAAGUCAGAACUGAAAUGAAUGAGAUAAUGCCAUCACAGAAAUAAAAUUUGAAAUCUCUCCUCUUUUAAGACUUUGGUGCAAUGGAAUCUUAUUGCGAUAUGCUGAGGUAACCAUGCCAUAUAAUGUAUAUUCAUGGCUACCACUGAAUUAUGUGUGGAUUUAUCCUAAUGGCAUUCCUGUAUCAUGGUUUUGUAGUGCUUAAGUGGUGAGAAACUGGAGCUGAUGAGACCAAGGCUCAGACUUACUCAUGUAACAUCAGAAGACGGAGGGAAGGGAUUUCUCAUGCCAUAGGCUGGUUGAAUUAUUUCUCAUUCUUCUUGCAUAUCUCCUAAUUCCUGAAAGACAGGCCAAGAGUUUUACAUGGGGAUUCACAUAGGAAACCACUCUGUGGGUGCUCUGGGAGGUCUUGCAUUCUGUGCAGGUCACUGUGUCUCCCAGAGGAGAGAGGGGCAGAUGGCCAGAUAGCAUGCAGGGCACGAGGAAGCCUCAAGUUUCCUCUCAGAGUCUACCACAAGCUUGCCCUGAGGCUUUGGGCUUCCUUUAGUUCUGUGUUGUUCAUCUCCAAAAACAUGUUAAGUGUCUUACCUGUUUUGCCUGAAAAAUGAUGAAUUUCUGUAUUAAGCAUGCUUGGGUCUGUUGAUGCUGAGCUUAGUUGAAAAGCUAUCAAAGACAAAAAAAGAAAAACUAACAGAGGAAUCACCUAACCCGUAGCUACCCAUUUGUAUUAUGAUUGAGUUCAUUUUGCAUUUCUAGUACUUAAUAGAAGUUCUUGGAAUGGAAAUGGUGGAAUCCCUUAUGUGGUUCUGGCAUGGGAGAUGACAGGCCCCAUACCUGGCUGCACAGUGCACUUAUCAAUUUAGAUUGCACAGUAUCGACUCUCCCUGUGCUCUUGCUCAGCUUCCAUCUUUCAACCAUCAAUGCUACCACCGGAUCUUGUUGCCUUUGCUCAGAGCUGAUUGCCUGCCAUCAUCUUAUCAGGCACUUAAACCUCGUUCUCCUAAUGUAAUUUAUAUUAAACCAAUUUAUAUUAUACAAUGAGCGCCUGACGGAGAACGUCCCCACAGGAGGCUUAUGUGCUGUUUUUUCUCAAUGGUAUUUAGCUGA